UAUCUCUAACAAUCUUAUUUGUUUCUAAAGAAAAAGAGUAGCAUCUUGUUUUUUCUCAAAGAAAAAAAAGGUAGCAUCUUUGUUCCACCUAUCGCCAUCGGCGUCCCACCCACGCUCACGCCGACGACCACGGUGCUGCAGGACCCACGGGAGGUGAGGUGCGCACGGAUCCGUCCCUUAUCUCCCAUCCCCAGCCGGCGCUGACCCUCUUCGCCGACGGGGCUUCAGCUGCGGCGUUGGAUCCGGUGGAUCUAGCCGUCGGCGACCGGCGAGGGAGGCCAAGCCCAUCAUCGCCUUCUCCUCCGGGCAUGGCCGCCGUCCCGGAGACUAGCGGGAGCACCGACGUCCUUGGCGACCACGGCAACGAGCGUGUUGCAGGCGAGAUGCUGCGCGACUGCUUCUGCCCACUGCCAAUCCCCAAGAACCCUUGAAAUAAUACUGAUUUAGGAUUGACUGAAUUCCUUUUGGGAGUCCAAAGUCCAAACAGAAAAACAAGUUUCACUAGGCUGCCGGGGGCACAAGAGCAGGAAUUAAUUGCUGGCGCACAGAAUCAGACAGGGAGAGCUUCAAAGUGUCUGAAGAAAGGCUAACCGGCUCUUCAGGUAUCAUUCUUUUUAGCGAAAACUGGGUCUUCAGUUGGGAUGCAGUGGAAUGAAAGUGGAUUAUGUCCGUUCCUAAAUACGGAGUAGAACGCCGUUACGGUUACGACAGCCUAAAAUAAAGUUGGAGCUCGGGUUCAGAGCGAGCGCAGUACCGCUGUAAUCAAGGCCCAAAAAUGUUUCCAUACGAGAGAAGGAAGCACACUAAGGCAUAUUUCUCAAAUUUGUUAAAAAAGAAUACUCGCUCUAUAUCUAAAUACUUGUAGUUGGAGAAAACUAGACUGGUUCUGUCCAACUACAAGUGUCUGGGGAGCCGCCCUUCGCGAUCUAGAUAGCCCAGUCAGUCAUUUGUUUUGACUGUGUCUUGACGUUGCACCGUCUGUUUGCCUAUGGCAUGUAUUCCCUUUCCUUCGCUGUAUUUGAUUUGAUGGAUCCGUAAAGACAUCAGUUUAAGGCCGGGCAAACACCUCCAUGCUAAAAAAAUAUAAAUAUUUACGUA